UUUUUUUUUUUUUUUUUUUCAUCAACCUUUGGUUAUCUAUAGUACAACAGUGGUUAUCACUUAUUCAAAGUCAAUAUUCUCUCAUAUGAUCAUGCCACCUCUUUUGUUUAUAAAUAUGAAAGUCAUCAAUAAUUAGAUUCCAACACUAGUUAUAUCAUUGUACGAUUGUUUUAGAUACUUCGUGGUCAUUUUUGAUAUGUGUGUUACUAGAGAAAAUUCAUUUUACAAGAACGAACAAGGUUUUUGAUAGGCUACCUCCAUUCUAAAUGUUGUAAAGGUUCUGAUACCUACUGUUUUUCAGAAGACAAUCCACUACUAUUUCUAUAUGUUUAAAACAUUUCAUAGUCAUAUUUCAUGAGAUACAACAUCAAAUACUCAACAACUGUAUCAUCACUUGUUGAAAACAUGCCAAUCAAGAAUUUGCUCGUUGCAUCUCGUUGAAGUCCUUCUUACCUUCUUUUAGACAUGAACAUGACUUGCAUGAAUGUGUCCAUUAUUUACAGAAAAACAAUUAAAUUUUGUAAAGGUUGUAAAAGAGCAAAAAAGUGGAAAAGAUUUGGACAAGAAUGGCCAGGAUCUAGCAUGAUCAACCAGAGAGGCAAGCAUAUGCAGCCCUGCUACUGCUGUGCUUCAG